GUACACGCUGUGACUAGCAUAUCAAUAAGCGGAGGAAAAGAAACUAACAAGGAUUCCCUUAGUAACGGCGAGUGAAGCGGGAAGAGCUCAAAUUUGAAAUCUUAAAGGGUUUUACCUUGACGAAUUGUAGUUUAAAGAAGUGUUUUCUGCUGAAGUUUUGGCUAAAAGUUCUUUGGAAUAGGACAUCAUAGAGGGUGAGAAUCCCGUAUUUGACCAUUAUUUUCAGCUUUGUGAUACACUUUCAAAGAGUCGGAUUGUUUGGGAAUGCAGUCCAAAAUGGGUGGUAAAUUUCAUCUAAAGCUAAAUAUUGGCGAGAGACCGAUAGCGAACAAGUACCGUGAGGGAAAGAUGAAAAGAACUUUGAAAAGAGAGUUAAACAGUACGUGAAAUUGUCAAAAGGGAAGCGUUUGACACCAGUGUUGUUUUUCUCGAAAAUCAAUUAAAGAACUGUUUAAUGCUAAGUUGUUUAGACUUUAUCAGCUAACUGUUUAGUUUUGAGCUUUUCUUUAAUGCACUUUUCAGUUAACAAGUCAACAUCAAUUUCUUUUGCUGUAAAAAAGCUUGAGGAAGGUGGCUUGAGAUUCGUCUUAAGUGUUUAUAGCCUCUUGCCUAUGCAGUCGGAGAGAUUGAGGUCUGCAGCGUAGAUCCUUCGGGGCUAAAUGCAUUUGUGCUAAGUUAUAGCAUUUUAUAGACAACUUGUUGACUAUGAUUUGUCUUGUAGCUUACUCGCUUAUGUUAUUUUACCUACGCUUAGGAUGUUGAGCGCAUGUCUCUCUCU
rnacentral:rRNA from 1 species